AAACAUCCUGCCACCCUGCCAUCUGAUUGUAGCCUACAGCAUUCAGUGAACACAGAUGCAUGCAGCAUGUUACAUCAACCAAAAGCCCAUAUUGUCCAGCUGGAAUUUGAAAGGGACCUGGCAAGUACAUUUCUCCAGGAAAGAGAAUGAAAUCAGAGACUUCUCAUGAGGUUCAACACAGCACUGAGGAGGCUGCAACUCUUCUAAAUGGACCUGAGCCCUAGGACCAUGCCUCAGGACUACCUGGUAUGAUGACUCCUUGCUGUCCCCAGUCCACCUGGCCGUGUUGCUGCUCCAGUUUCAGCUGUUCUGCCUGCGGCUAUGGAACCCUGACCUGUUCACCGGACGUGCUUGUUGCACCCUCGACAACUACUAUGAUUAUUAUUAUUUGACCAUGCUGGUCAUUUAUGAACAUUUUAACAUCUUGACCAUGUUCUGUUAUAAUAUCCACCCUGCACAGCCAGAAGAGGACUGGCCACCCCUCAUAGCCUGGUUCCUCUCUAGGUUUCUUCCUAGGUUUUUGGCCUUUCUAGGGAGUUUUUCCUAGGGAGUUUUUCCUAGCCACCAUGCUUCUUUCACAUGCAUUGCUUGCUGUUUGGGGUUUUAGGCUGGGUUUCUGUACAGCACUUUGAGAUAUCAGCUGAUGUACGAAGGGCUAUAUAAAUUAAUUUGAUUCGAUUUGAUUUGAUAUAGGAAUCGUUUUACUGUGGAUAUAGAUACUUUUGUACCUGUUUCCUCUAGCAUCUUCAAAGGUCUUUUGCUGUUGUCCUGGG
rnacentral:lncRNA from 1 species